GACGAACGCUGGCGGCGUGCCUAAUACAUGCAAGUCGAGCGAAUCAAUGGGAGCUUGCUCCCUGAGAUUAGCGGCGGACGGGUGAGUAACACGUGGGUAACCUGCCUGUAAGACUGGGAUAACUUCGGGAAACCGGAGCUAAUACCGGAUACUUCCUUUUCUCGCAUGAGGGAAGAUGGAAAGAUGGUUCUGCUAUCACUUACAGAUGGACCCGCGGCGCAUUAGCUAGUUGGUGAGGUAACGGCUCACCAAGGCAACGAUGCGUAGCCGACCUGAGAGGGUGAUCGGCCACACUGGGACUGAGACACGGCCCAGACUCCUACGGGAGGCAGCAGUAGGGAAUCUUCCGCAAUGGACGAAAGUCUGACGGAGCAACGCCGCGUGAGCGAAGAAGGCCUUCGGGUCGUAAAGCUCUGUUGUUAGGGAAGAACAAGUACGAGAGUAACUGCUCGUACCUUGACGGUACCUAACCAGAAAGCCACGGCUAACUACGUGCCAGCAGCCGCGGUAAUAC
rnacentral:rRNA from 1 species